CAGUCGCCGCGGGAACACGGAGGGAGCUAGCGUUGUUCGGAAUUACUGGGCGUAAAGCGUACGUAGGCGGCUACUCAAGUCGGGGGUGAAAGCCCGGGGCUCAACCCCGGAACUGCCCUCGAAACUAGGUAGCUAGAAUCUUGGAGAGGUCAGUGGAAUUCCGAGUGUAGAGGUGAAAUUCGUAGAUAUUCGGAAGAACACCAGUGGCGAAGGCGACUGACUGGACAAGUAUUGACGCUGAGGUGCGAAAGCGUGGGGAGCAAACAGGAUUAGAUACCCGCGUAGUCCCUGUCUCUUAUAC
rnacentral:rRNA from 1 species